GACGUAGGGCGCGAGCGUUGUCCGGAAUUAUUGGGCGUAAAGAGCUCGUAGGCGGUCUGUCACGUCGGCUGUGAAAACACGGGGCUCAACUCCGUGCCUGCAGUCGAUACGGGCAGACUAGAGUUCGGUAGGGGAGACUGGAAUUCCUGGUGUAGCGGUGAAAUGCGCAGAUAUCAGGAGGAACACCGGUGGCGAAGGCGGGUCUCUGGGCCGAAACUGACGCUGAGGAGCGAAAGCGUGGGGAGCAAACAGG
rnacentral:rRNA from 1 species